rnacentral:rRNA from 1 species
UACGUAGGGUGCGAGCGUUGCCCGGAUUUAUUGGGCGUAAAGGGCGCGUAGGCGGCUCUGCACGUUCGUUGUGAAAUCGCCCGGCUCAACUGGGCGGGGUCAGCGGAUACGGCAGAGCUUGAGCAAGCUAGGGGGCAAUGGAAUUCCCGGUGUAGUGGUGGAAUGCGCAGAUAUCGGGAGGAACACCCGUGGCGAAGGCGGCACUCUGGGACGGUACUGACGCUGAGACGCGAAAGCGUGGGGAGCAAACAGG